UACGUAGGGGGCUAGCGUUGUCCGGAAUCAUUGGGCGUAAAGAGCGUGUAGGCGGCCCGGUAAGUCCGCUGUGAAAGUCGGGGGCUCAACCCUCGAAUGCCGGUGGAUACUGUCGGGCUAGAGUGCGGAAGAGGCGAGUGCAAUUCCUGGUGUAGCGGUGAAAUGCGCAGAUAUCAGGAGGAACACCAAUUGCGAAGGCAGCUCGCUGGGACGUAACUGACGCUGAGGCGCGACAGCGUGGGGAGCAAACAGG
rnacentral:rRNA from 1 species